rnacentral:rRNA from 1 species
GACGAACGCUGGCGGCGUGCCUAAUACAUGCAAGUCGAACGCUUCUUUCCUCCCGAGUGCUUGCACUCAAUUGGAAAGAGGAGUGGCGGACGGGUGAGUAACACGUGGGUAACCUACCCAUCAGAGGGGGAUAACACUUGGAAACAGGUGCUAAUACCGCAUAACAGUUUAUGCCGCAUGGCAUAAGAGUGAAAGGCGCUUUCGGGUGUCGCUGAUGGAUGGACCCGCGGUGCAUUAGCUAGUUGGUGAGGUAACGGCUCACCAAGGCCACGAUGCAUAGCCGACCUGAGAGGGUGAUCGGCCACACUGGAACUGAGACACGGCCCAGACUCCUACGGGAGGCAGCAGUAGGGAAUCUUCGGCAAUGGACGAAAGUCUGACCGAGCAACGCCGCGUGAGUGAAGAAGGUUUUCGGAUCGUAAAACUCUGUUGUUAGAGAAGAACAAGGGCGUUAGUAACUGAACGUCCCCUGACGGUAUCUAACCAGAAAGCCACGGCUAACUACGUG